CACAAGUAUAUAUAGAUUAUAUACAAUGGACAAUCGAGCUAUUGGACAAUAUCACAUUACAAUUACACAAGGACCUUAAGAGACAUACAUACACUUACAAUUCUAACAGCUGUUUUGUUAGUAGAGUAUUUAACUGUCUUAAAAUACAGUUAAAUUUAUUUUAGUCGACUUUGCGAGUGUAAAAUUAGGUUCGCUCCGGGGGCCUGAAACUCCCCAUAAUUCAAUUCGCGACGAUUGUACAUCCGCUAAGAAAAGUCAGAGAAAACAUAUCAAUGGAGAAGUCAACAUACAAGUAGAAUUUGGCAGCACGUCCAAACGGCCUCACAGCAGCAGACCACAUGUCAACACGCCAGCCCAGGACCUCCACAUCCGGCUUCUUCACCUGCGGGAUCGUCUGAAACCAACCACCCGGACAGCUGAUGGAACUGGUCUUGACCUGAAUGCAGCAUCGGCAUCGUAACCGACUUUGGUGGGAAAAUACUCAAAUUCGAUGGCCACUGGCAUACUGGAAAAGUGUACUAAUCACAGAUGAAUCCCGAUUUCAACUGUACCAGGCAGAUGGCAGACUGACGUAAACACUGAUCAGAGUGCCCCGUGAUGGUGGUGGGGAUAUGGUGAACGCCAGAAGCAGUACACCAUCGAUGUGAGCUGGGAGAAGCGAGGCUGUAGAGCCGGAGACGAGGCGAGAACGAGGGCUGUUGUUGGAGCAGACCGGGACCAGUGUUGAAAUGGAGAGAAAAGGCCUUUAUGGGAAUUGGGAGGGUGAACGCUAACCCUUCUCAAAGCUAAGUACCUCUUUAUAUCCAAUUUUAACUUAGUGCCAGAGAGCUGUAUUCCAACAUUCUCUACUGUGUUGCGUGCUACGCACUCAUUAAUGCCAGUGUGCCUGUGGAUUGAGACUAUAGCUGCAGUGUGACCUGACCGGAGGAGGAACUACGAAUCAACUGUGGAUCAGAUUGACGGCUGCUGGUGAGCGAGAAGAAACGGAGAGGAGGCCUUUGGGAAAUUGGGAGGGUGAACGCUUCACCCUGCCCAAAGCUAAGUACCUCUUCAUAUUCCAUUUCCAACAUUUCACCUGCUAGCAGUGCCUGCCGACGUUCUCUACUGCUUUGUGUGCUACGCGCGUGUUAAUGCCAGUGCAUACACUGUGAACCAGAGAGGAGGCUUGGAACACUGGCUUGGAUCCCUCAGUGUCCCUGCUGUGUUGGGACCACAGAUCACUAAGGGCUAUUAAAAUAGGACUUUUGCAUUUUAUAUUUUUGGACUUGUCCACUUCGGACUUAGCCAUUGUUAAAUAAAUAGUGUAGAACACCCUUGUGUGUUUGGAAGGUCUACAUAUCUUAACCAAUCAUUCAUACAAAUGCAAUAACUGACUUAUAUUCACUUGUCUAUUGUCCCAUUCUUCAAUCUAGUCUUUGAUAUAUAUUUUAGUUGAUACACCUGUGUGAGGUGUCUAAUAUACAUGAAUUCAAAUGUAUUCACCCUGGACAUGAGACUUUACAACUUUUGAAUCAUUAACUAAGUGUUGUCUUCAAAUGUUAUUGGUCACAUACACAUUUAGCAGAUGUUAUUGAGGGUGUAGCGAAAUGUUUGGGUUUUUCUUUAGUUUGCAUCUUUUCGGGCAAAUUUAGUGGCCGCUCAUGUUUGGUGUCUUAGGUUCCAAUUGUUGUUGCUAGUCAACUUUCAGUGGACACCCCAAUGAGUGUCUUUCAGAACUCUUCCUAAAACCCCAUUUGUUUUGCUUUGGUUGUUGGUCAGUGACUGUUAGUUCCUUCUUCUGUUUGAGCUACAUUUUUGGUUUUCUUGCUGUGGAACGUAACAAAAUGGGGGCUCGUCCGGGACUCUGAAGCUCUGUGCCCAGAUAUUUGAGUGUUCAAAAUACACUUUUGUGGUAGAAUUUCUGUUACUGACCUCCACCUUGAGAGGUUAUAAGAUUGGUGGGAUCAUUUUGAAAGUUGCAUGAACACAAGAUAAUAAAAUUAAAAUAAAGCCAUGGACUUUAAGUUGGAAAACCCUACAUUGGAGAUGCUAGAUAAAUGUACAAAUGCAAAUCUGCUCGUCAUUGCAAAGCAUUAUGUCAUCAAAGUGGCAUCUGGCAAUCCAACAGCGGUAGUCAGAGUUGAUUGGUAUUACUUUGGUAGAGGAGGAAAUCCUUCAGGAGAAGGAAGUUGAUGAAAUGGGUCCCACAGGUGGUAGAGUACACCUCAUAGAUGUGCAACUGCGAGAGGUAGAACUAAAGGCAAAAUGGGAACAACAGACAGAGCUUGAGCUUUAUAGAAAAUAUGUAAUUGAACUAAUAUUGUAUUACCUUUUAAUGUGUCAAUGAACACAAACAGUCUUGAUUUCGUCUGAUUGUCAAACAAAUCCCUUCAAAAAGUAGGUUAAUUGCACACUUCAAAAUAAGUCCAGCAUCUGAACAGUGCACUGUGCACAUGCCAUUUGAAUGGAAAAGGACAUCUAUUACAAACACCAUACGUGUAAUGACAUUCAGCCUACAAAGUGUCAUGUAUUAAUGGAUUCCAAGGGAAGCCAGUCUUCCACAAAAAAAUGUUAACAAUAAAAAAAGAAACAAACUUAUAAAAGGUUUGUAACUUGUUGUGGGAAGCUUGUGGAAGGCUACCCGAAACGUUUGACCCAAGUUAAGCAAUGCAAAGGAAAUACUCUCAAUUAUUAUUUGAUAGCAUGUAAACUUCUGGCCCACUGGGAAUGUGAAUAAAGAAAUAAAAGCUGAAAUAAAUCAUUCUCUCUACUAUUAUUCUGACAUUUCACAUUCUUAAAAUAAAGUGGUGAUCCUAACGGACCCAAAACCGGGAUUUACUAGGAUUAACUAAUGUCUGGAAUUGUGAAAAACGGAGUUUAAAUGGAUUUGGCUAAGGUGUAUGUAAACUUCCGAUUUCAACUGUAUAUUUUUCGUAGCCGUCUAUUUACCAACACAAACCGCACUCAAGGAAUUGUAUAAGGCCAUAAGCAAACAGGAAAACGCUCAUCCAGAGGAGGCGCUCCGAGUGGCCGGGGAAUUUAAUGCAGGGAAACUCAAAUCUGUUUUACCUCAUUUCUACCAGAAUGUUAAAGGUGCAACCAGAGGGGAAAAAAAAACUCAAGACCACCUUUACUCCACGCACAGAGAUGCAUACAAAGCUCUCCCUUCAUUUGGCAAAUCUGACCAUAAUUCUAUCCUACUGAUUCCUGCUUACAAGCAUAAACUAAAGCAGGAAGCACCAGUGACUUGGUCAAUAAGAAAGUUGUAAGAUGAAGCAGAUGCUAAGCUACAGUUUUGUUAGCACAGACUGGUAUAUGUUCCGGGAUUCUUCUGAUGGCAUUGAGGAGUACACCACAUCAGCCACUUGCUUCAUCAAUAAGUGCAUCGAUGAUGUCGUCCCCAUGGUGACUGUACGUACAUAUCCCAAUCAGAAGCCAUGGAUUACAGGCAACGCGGGACUCUAACCCAGAAGCUUAUAUAAAAUUCCAGUAUACCAUCAAACAGGCAAAGCGUCAAUACAGGACUAAGAUUGAAUCGUACUACACCAGCUCAGACGCUCGUCGGAUAUGGCAGGGCUUGCAAAAUAUUACAGACUACAAAGGGAAGCGCUUGCUUCGAGGCAAGUAACACUGUAGCAUGCAUGAGAGCAUCAGCUGUUCCGGACAACUGUGUGAUCACGCUCUCAGUAGCCGAUGUGAGUAAGACCUUUAAACAGGUCAACAUUCACAAGGCCGCAGGGCCAGACAAAUUACCAGGACGUGUACUCCGAGCAUGCGCUGACCAACUGGCAAGUGUCUUCACUGACAUUUUCAACCUGUUGCUGACUGAGUCUGUAAUGCCAACAUGUUUUAAACAGAUUACCAUAGUCCCUGUGGCCAAGAACUCUUAAGGUAAUCUGCCUAAAUGACUACCGACCCGUAACACUCACGUCUGUAGCCAUGAAGUGCUUUGAAAGGCUGGUCAUGGCUCACAUCAACACCAUUAUCCCAAAAACCCUAGACCCACUCCAAUUCACAUACUGCCCCAACAGAUCCACAGAUGAUGCAAUCUCUAUUGCACUCAACACUGCCCUUUCCCACCUGGACAAAAGGAACACCUAUGUGAGAAUGCUAUUCAUUGACUACAGCUCAGCGUGCAACACCAUAGUGCCCUCAAAGCUGACCACUAAGAUAAGGACCGUGGGACUAAACACCUCCCUCUGCAACUGGAUCCUGGACUUCCUGACGGGCCUCCUCCAGGUGGUAAGGGUAGGUAACUGCCGCGCUGAUCCUCAAUAUGGGGGCCCCAUUAGGGGUGCUUGCUCAGUCCCCUCCUGUACUCCCUGCUCACUCAUGACUGCAUGGUCAGCCACGACUCCAACACCAUCAUCAAGUUUCCCAAUGACACAACAGUGGUAGGCCUGAUCACCAACAACAAUGAAACAGCCCAUGGGGAGGAGGUCAGAGACCUGGCCGUGUGGUGCCAGGACAACAACCUCUCCCUCAACGUGAUCAAGACAAAGGAGAUGAUUGUGGACUACAGGAAAAGGAGGACUGAGCACGCCCCCAUUCUCAUUGACAGGGCUGCAGUGGAGCAGGUUGAAAGCGUCUUGUUCCUUGGUGUCCGCAUCACCAACAAACUAUCAUGGUCCAAACACACCAAGACAGUCGUGAAGAGGGCAUGACAAAGCCUAUUCCCCCUCAGGAGACUGAAAAUUUGGCAUGGGUCCUCAGAUCCUCAAAAGGUUCUUCAGCUGCACCAUCCUGACUGGUUGCAUCACUGCCUGGUAUGGCAACUGCUCACCCUCUGACGGCAAGGCAGUACAGAGGGUAGUGCGUACGGCCCAGUACAUCACUGGGGCCAAGCUCCCUGUCAUUCAGGACCUCUAUACCAUGUGGCGUCAGAGGAAGGCCCUAAACAUUGUCAAAGACUCCUGCCACCCUAGUCAUGGACUGUUUUCUCUGCUACCGCACGGCAAGCGGCUUCUUAACAGCUUCUACCCCCAAGCCAUAAGACUCCUGAACAGCUAAUCAAAGGGCUACCCAGACCCUUCUUUUACAUUGCUGCUACUCUUUGUUUAUUAUCUAUGCAUAGUCACUUUAACUCUGCCUGCAUGUACAUAUUUCCUCAAUUACCUUGACUAACCGGUGCCCCCGCACAUUGACUGUAACGGUACCCUCUGUAUAUAGCCUCGUUAUUGUUAUUUUACUGCUGCUGUUUAAUUAUUUGUUAGUUUUACUUUCUAUUUUUUACUUAACACUUUUUUUUUCUCUUAAAGCAUUGUUGUUUAAGUAAGUAAGCAUUUCACUGUAAGGUCUACUACACCUAUUGUAUUUGGUGCAUGUGACAAAUACCAUUUGAUUUGAUAAAGUACAACUUCAAUUUAUAUAUAAAUGCCUUGAAUAUUUAAAUUUUGGAGAAUCUCUUAUACAAUGGGUUAAAGUUAUGUACUGUAUCGGCAUAUCUAUUUAUAAUGGUCAUCGAAACGUUGGCUAUUAAAGUCAGAUCCAACAAUAAUACCAAGGGGCAAGAAAUCUAAGGCUUGAAAGCAAAGGUAUCAUUGUACACAGACGACUCAUGUUUUCUUUUAAAUCCGCAAUCUGGAUCCUUGCACAGACUCAGAGGAUCUAGAUCAUUUCUCUAACCUCUGGAUUCCACCAAACUAUGAUAAGUGUACUAUAUUGGAUCGCAAAAUAAUACAAAUUUUACAUUACCGUGUAGUUUACCAAUAAAGUAGACAUAUUCGGUAUUCAUAUCUUGAAGUAAAUAAAUUCUCACUACAAUAAAUGUUAAUAUAAAGUUAGUAAAAAUAGAUAAGAUCUUGCUACCAUGGAUAUCUACAGUUGAAGUCGGCGGUUUACAUACACCUUAGCCAAAUACAUUUAAACUCAGUUUUUCACAAUUCCUGACAUUUAAUCCUAGUAAAACAUUCCCUGUCUUAGGUCAGUUAGGAUCACCACUUUAUUUCAGCUUUUAUUUCUUUCAUCACAUUCCCAGUGGGUCAGAAGUUUACAUACACUCAAUUAGUAUUUGGUAGCAUUGCCUUUAAA